AUUGAACGCUGGCGGCAGGCCUAACACAUGCAAGUCGAACGAGUGGCGGACGUGUGAGUAAUGUCUGGGAACCUGCCUGAUGGAGGGGGAUAACUACUGGAACCGGUAGCUACUCCCGCAUACCAUCACAUUUGCCCCGAUGGGAUUUGCGAUUUGUUGGGGUAACGGCUCACAAAGGCGACGAUCCCUAGCUGGUCUGAGAGGAUGACCAGCCACACUGGAACUGAGACACGGUCCAGACUCCUACGGGAGGCAGCAGUGGGGAAUAUUGCACAAUGGGCGCAAGCCUGAUGCAGCCAUGCCGCGUGUAUGAAGAAGGCCUUCGGGUUGUAAAGUACUUUCAGCGGGGAGGCGUUAACCGCAGAAGAAGCACCGGCUAACUCCGUGCCAGCAGCCGCGGUAAUAC
rnacentral:rRNA from 1 species